rnacentral:rRNA from 1 species
CCUACGGGAGACUGCAGUGAGGAAUAUUGGUCAAUGGGCGAGAGCCUGAACCAGCCAAGUAGCGUGAAGGAUGACGGCCCUAUGGGUUGUAAACUUCUUUUGUAAAGGAAUAAAGUGAGGCACGUGUACCUUUUUGUAAGUACUUUAUGAAUAAGGAUCGGCUAACUCCGUGCCAGCAGCCGCGGUAAUACGGAGGAUCCGAGCGUUAUCCGGAUUUAUUGGGUUUAAAGGGAGCGUAGAUGGGUUGUUAAGUCAGUUGUGAAAGUUUGGGGCUCAACCGUCAAAUUGCAAUUGAAACUGGCAGUCUUGAGUGCAGUAGAGGUAGGCGGAAUUCGUGGUGUAGCGGUGAAAUGCUUAGAUAUCACGCAGAACUCCGAUUGCGAAGGCAGCUUACUAACCUGCAACUGACACUGAUGCUCGAAAGUGUGGGUAUCAAACAGGAUUAGAUACCCUAGUAGUC